UACGGGGGGGGCAAGCGUUGUUCGGAAUUACUGGGCGUAAAGGGCUCGUAGGCGGCCAACUAAGUCAGACGUGAAAUCCCUCGGCUUAACCGGGGAACUGCGUCUGAUACUGGAUGGCUUGAGUUUGGGAGAGGGAUGCGGAAUUCCAGGUGUAGCGGUGAAAUGCGUAGAUAUCUGGAGGAACACCGGUGGCGAAGGCGGGUCUCUGGGACGGUACUGACGCUGAGACGCGAAAGCGUGGGGAGCGAACAGG
rnacentral:rRNA from 1 species